CCGUGCUAGAUGGGGAGGUAGCGGUGCCCUGUAACUCGCAAUCCGCUAUAGCGAGGUUGAAGUCCUGUUAGAGGUCUUGCCGAUGUGAGGCCGGUCUUUACGGCAGACGUUGACGGACGGGUCCUCCGCAAGGAGUACCUGUGAACCUGGUCAGGUCCGGAAGGAAGCAGCCAUAAGCAGUCCUACGCCUGUGCCGGAGGGCAGCCUGUCUCGAGUCUUGCCGUAAAGGUGCCGCUCGGAUCGCAAUGAUCGAUAACAGGUGCACGG
rfam:Paenibacillus sp. oral taxon 786 str. D14 genomic scaffold supercont1.27, whole genome shotgun sequence.